UUUUGCAGUUAAUAUUCCAUAUGCUGAAUAAAAGAAGGGCUGGAAUUUAAGUAAAAAUAUCAACAAGAGCGUGCUUUAAUUGUAUUAAAUUAAUAUCUUCAACAUGGGGAUUUACUAUAGUGUAGUGUCUCUUUGUCUGAUAUUUGUUCAACUUCAAGGCAAGUAUUUUCUUAUUUAUCUGUUUCAUUACUUUAAAUCGGAUUUUAUUAAACUAAGAUGCGCUUUUCUUCCCACAUAUUUAUGUUUGCAUGUAUACUAUAAACGGGUUAAUACUUACUGCUCACUACAAUUAGUUUAUACAUGGUAAAUAAAGCUUAAUCUUCUGGCCCCAAUUUCUCGGAACUUCUUAAGCUUUACAGGCUUAAAUUGAAUAAUGAUAGAUGAAACAUGGCUUAUUGUGAUUAUCAUAAAGAUAAUUCCUAUCUUAAGUAUAAAAACACUGAAAGAAGUAAAUCUUAUACAAAUUUUUGUAAACCAUAAAUAGUGAGCUUAGCUAAAUCCUGCUAUAAGGGACUUAAAAAGUUUCGAGAAAUUGGGGUCUGUAGUUUAAAUUUUGCAUAAUCUAUUAUUUGUUUCAUCAACAUGUUUUUUUCUGUGAUAUUAUCUCUGUUUAAAUACUGCAGUGUCUAUGACGUGAUUUAUCAAAUUGUUGUUUUUUUCACGCACAAUGUGACUAUGUUUACUCAUAGCAUUAAAUCGGUGAUAAAAUACUAUAUAAAGAUCAUCAAUACGAAACCAAUAGAGUAGCAAUACUAUUUGAAAGAUAUAUGUUAUAAACUUAAUAUCUCGUUUGUAUACGCCAGUUAAUAAAACGGAACAUAUUGUACAGCUGACUUGCAGCAAAGCAGUUGGCGGACGGGUAGUGCGUCCACUAUACUGUAAGAUCAAAGCUUUCGAAGUUUUGUCCAAUCAUCAGGGAAUAAAACAGAAUGCGUAGUUAUAAUAUCUUGACCAAUUCGAAUACUAGCCAUACUCCCUGAGUCACACAUGAGUUGUCUCUGUUUGAAAUUCAGAAAUAAUUUAAAGUUAUUCUAGUCCGAUCAAUAACUAUCGACGCCUUUGUCCGGUCAUCACCAACUUUGAUCAGAAUGAUCUAUUAAUAUGUUAGAAAGUUUUUUACCAGUCAUAAUGCUUAAGUCGCUUUAGAGGAAUCAAUCUGUUAAUUUUAGUAAUUACCUAAAAAAGGUUAUAGUCGGAUUGAUAACUUUAGAAUACUUAUGUGAAAAACUAGAGAAACAAGCUCAUUAGCAAAAAGUUUGAAAAUAAACCGGAUCUAAUGGCAAUGGGUAAACGCUAAAGACCUAGAACACAAAGAACAACAAAAACACAAACAAGAAACAUGGAAGAACAGCACAAAACCCCAAAAGCAGCACAGUGCAUACAGACUAUAUAUAUAAAAAAAUUAGGUAUGUUUAUCAAGGAUUGUUAGGUACCGCACAGGAACGGUCAGUAAAAUGUAAAUUUCAGAAGUUUUUUUUGUAAAGAUAUGCACAUCUGUCGAGUCACUCAUUAUUUGAUUACCUAUACGUAUAGACAUUAUCUAAAAUCGGUUUAAAUAACUUAAAGCGUAUAUAUUUCCAAAUGUCACCAUAUUUUGCUAGAUAUCGAUCUGAUACGAUAAUCAACCAUGUCGCCUAUGUCAUUCAAGAGAAUUAACCGUUGAAUUAGCAUAACCAGAUUUAUCCAGUGUCUGCACCUUAGAUAACAUUCAACCACUUAUCACAGAGUAUUCUAAUGAAAGGAGGGUCGACUUUUGCGACAAUUGGCGCAAUUAUUCAUCCAGCACGCAUACAAUCAUAAUACAGUCCAUACAUUUUUAUUUCACAAGAUUAAUGGAAGGAUUGUUGUUACAAGUUUUGUUUUCUUAUAUCCAAGUUACAUUGGCACAAACUGAGUGUCAAAACUGUGGUUGCUGCGCUUCCGGACAAGAGAUAAAAUGCAGUAAAAACAGUACGUACUGCAUGAAUGGGUGCCUACAUGGAUAUUGGGGUGACACGUGUGAUGAAAAAUGUGGAUUUAACUGUGCAGAUUGUCACAGGUGGAGUGGUCAAUGCAAUUCUUGCAUUGAUGGAUAUUGGGGAGUAGAUUGCAACAGGGAAUGUGGACAUCGGUGUAAAACAUGCAACAUAUGGACUGGCUGUACAGCGUGUGACAUGGGCUAUUACGGCACCAUAUGCGAGAACUACUGUGGAUACUUUUGUGUAAGUUGUAAUAGAAACAGUGGAUGCACUGGUUGUAUUGAUGGUUAUUUCCUUAAUCAGGAAGUGUGUUCACAAUGCCCUUCUUACUGCAAAUCUUGCAUUAGCUCUACAAACUGCACUUCUUGUACGGACGGUCGAUUUGGCAAUGUAUGUCAGUAUUAGUGUAACGAACACUGUGUUCAUGGUCAGUGUAAUACAUCAACAGCUUCAUGGCAGUGUAAUGCAUAUUUUAUCGGAGAGAUGUGUGACCAGUGUGUCGCGGGAUACUUUGGUAACGACUGUGAACAGACAUGUCCCUCUGGAUGCUCUGAUACCUGUUCACAAACUGAUGGAUCUUGCACAUGCAAAUUUGGGUGGACAGGAGAUAAAUGUGACACAUGUGCCAAUAAAUACUUCGGAAAAAAUUGCAAUGAAACAUGUAAUAGUAACUGUAAAGAAUGUACUGGGAAAUAUGAGUGUCAGCUUUGUUUACCUGGACGUUAUGGUUAUAACUGCCAAUUCAGUUGUGGGAAAGGCUGCAGAAAUGACAGGUGUAAUAUAACAUCAGGAUAUUGUGAAUGCAAAAGUAAUAACUUUGUUGCAACAUCAUUAUCAUCAGGAUACUGUCGUGAUUGUGUUCCGGGCAGGUACGGUCCGACGUGUGAGAAAAUCUGUCCUCAAUCGUGUUAUGCAUGCGAACAUGAGCUGGAAUGUUUUUCAUGUCAUGUCGGAUACUUUGGGCUAUCCUGUGAAACAUCUUGUCCAUAUGGAUGCAAGGGGAAUAAUUGCAAGCAAGAGGACGGAGUUUGUGUAACAUGCAAACUUGGGUAUUUCGGAGAACACUGUAACAACACUUGCCAGGAGUCCUGCCGAUCAUGUGAUAAAUACGGUCUAUGUUCCGAAUGUAAACCUGCAUAUUUUCCCAACAAUAACGGACAAUGUGAAACUUGCAAUUCAAAAUGCGUCGCCAAUAACUGUGAUUCUCCUUCGGGAAGAUGCAUUCAAGGAUGCUAUGAUGGAUACUGGAACAGAACCUGUGACACAGAGUGUGAUACCGCAUGCUUUGCUUGCAAUCAAACAGAUGGAUCGUGUUUACAAUGCAAGAACAAAACAAGAUAUGGACCUGACUGUAGCCAGGAAUGCAGCUAUACAUGUAAAUCGUCAGUGUGCGACGUAAAUGGAAGUUGUAUAAACGGAUGCAUUGUAAAUACAUUCGGCAAGCAAUGUGAAAACAAAUGUGGUGAUUAUUGUUUACUAAAAGACAACCAAACAAGUUGUUCUGAAAAGAUGGGAAUGUGUUUAUACGGCUGCCGAACUGGAUACACGGACAAACUUUGCCCACAAGAUGAGGAGCCGGCAACAUUGUCAGCAGCACUUAGAGGGGGACUCGGUGGUGGAAUUCUUGUGCUCAUAAUCAUAACAAUGGCUGUAAUGUGGUUGCUUCGUAAAAGGCGAAGGUCAAACACGGAACACAAUGAUUUACUUCAUUAUGGCAAGUUAUUAAACUGCGAUAACAUAGUAAUAAUAGAACGAACUCAUAGUCAAUAUUAAUAUAUCAUUGAUGCACUAUCGUCAUAUAUUCAAUGCGUGUGCUUAAAUACUUUUCUUUUACAAUUCUUACAUUGGCUUAUAUCAAAUGGUAAAUAUAAAUUUAUAUAUAUAUCUGACUGGUAUAGAUAUUAUGUUUUUUGUUUGUUUUAGUCCGUAUAGAUUAUGACACAGUGGAUAAUAAUCUUUGUGAGAUUGAACUCAACGAUCUUCAGUAUGAGACUCUUCAAGAAAGAGAUGAUCGAAGGAUGAAUAAAACAACUGACUAUUCAAACGUCUCUGAAAGGGAAAAUGGCAACAUGACAUACGUAAAAAAUAUUUAUAUGAUACAUUUUUAUGUCAAGACAACUGUUUUACUAAAAUAGCCCCAAGCUAUUAAUGUGUUUCUGUAGCUAAAUGGAGGGGAUUUAGGCAACAACAUAAGCAGUGUGUCUACAUCCGUUGUGUGUGCCUACCCGGUGGUUCGGGUAAUCAAAAUGCCGUAUAUUAGGGAAAAUGUUAGUGGCAGACCAUUGUCAUAGAUAGAUUUGAUAGAACUUACAUGGACGUACAUCAUUUUCAAUAGAGAUGGCAGCAAUUAUGAUGAGAAGAAAGUAAAGAGGCUGCAAAGAAAAUCGAGUUUUACCACGGAACGAUAUUUAGGCACACAUUUUUCUUAAAUAGUAUAAACAUAUCAAUAGCAGUAUUCACAUUUUAAUGUAUGUUUGUAAAAUGUUGUAACCAUCGUACAUUAUACAUGUAUACGUGACAACAGCAUCAAAUCGUUAUCAAGCAUAUGAAUUCCAUAUUGAUUGUGAGAGUUGUUAUCACAUCCAAAAAACUUUCCGAUAUGUGUUUUCAGGGUAAGACUUUUACCAAAAUGUGAAGUGUUUUCCUAUUGUGGGAUUGAUACAGGGUUGUCUUUAAAACAUUAUACUCGAGCAUCCGCAUGUUUACGAGGGAUGAGCCAGCAGUGUAUGUUGAAGAAACAUAGCUAAUGUACAGUGUUAUGUAAAAUUUGGCGCCAAAAAUACAAAGAAAAUAACAUAGUACAUACAGAGACUGUUUUAUUUACUCUUUCAUUAAUUAAAAUCAGAUAUUAUCAAUAAGUGAUUAAUUCGCUCACUGAUAGAAGGCAAAUAACUCACAGCUCAUUGUGAAAUAUACAUGGAUUGACAUUGAAGUUAGACAAACAGUCUUAUUUUUACUUCAUGAAAGAAAAUGUCUUCCUGACUGUUGUUUUGUUUCGGUUUAUAUUGUUCAAUUAGUUCAUUUUGAGUAGAUAUAUCAGGUAGUCACUUUAAACAUCACGACAUAAUCACUUGUUCACCUUUAAAUUUUGUCUUUGUGUUGUAUCUUGACCUCGACGUAUAUCGUUUCAUUUAAAUGUUUCAUUUGUUCUUGUCAUAUACAGGAAUAACAAAUGUUUUUGUUUGAAGAAAAUGUUUCGCUAGAUUUAAAGAUUUAAGUUUUAAGAUAGUUAUAAAAAUGAUAUUUAAUUUAAUUUUGAAUUUUUAAAUGAAUGUAGCAGGAACAGUGCACUGCACUUCCACUUGUCGAGCUAUUUAAUUUAUAUACGACCGCAAAGUGUGAAUGUUUUAUUUCACAGGGGUGUAGUUUUAACCGUAUAUGAUAUGAAGGAAAUUGUUGUUGUUGUACAGCAUUGUUAAGA